rnacentral:rRNA from 4 species
CAACGCGACCCCAGGUCAGGCG